rnacentral:lncRNA from 1 species
AUUAUAACUUAAAUAGUUUUUAAACUUAAAUUUAUGAUCACUAGGGAUAUGAUAGAGGUAACAAAAUUGAAUUCAGAGUUUCGACUUCAAUUCACUAGGUAUUAUGAUACAAUUUGUGCCUAAGGUUUGGCAUAUGAUGAGUGCGAAAGAGUUGCAUGAUUCUGUCUCUAAUCUUAAUGGUGAGGUUUGAUCUACGAUGAGUGUGAGGGGC